CCUUUAAGCGGGGAGUAGCCCAUAGAAAUGUGGAUUAAUACCCCGUAGUAAUGCUGGUUGGCAUCAACUGGUAUUUAAAGAUUUAUCACUUAAAGAUGGCUGUGCGGCUGAUUAGGUAGUUGGUGUGGGUAACGGCCCACCAAGCCAGCGAUCAGUAACUGGUGUGAGAGCACGACCAGUCACACGGGCACUGAGACACGGGCCCG
rnacentral:rRNA from 1 species